rnacentral:rRNA from 1 species
AUUGAACGCUGGCGGCAGGCCUAACACAUGCAAGUCGAACGGUAACAGGAAGAAGCUUGCUUCUUUGCUGACGAGUGGCGGACGGGUGAGUAAUGUCUGGGAAACUGCCGGAUGGAGGGGGAUAACUACUGGAAACGGUAGCUAAUACCGCAUAACGUCGCAAGACCAAAGAGGGGGACCUUCGGGCCUCUUGCCAUCGUAUGUGCGCAGAUGGGAAGAGCUAGUAGGUGGGGUAACGGCUCACCUAGGCGACGAUCUCGAGCUGGUCUGAGAGGAUGACCAGCCACACUGGAACUGAGACACGGUCCAGACUCCUACGGGAGGCAGCAGUGGGGAAUAUUGCGCAAUGGGGGCAAGCCUGAUGCAGCCAUGCCGCGUGUAUGACGAAGGCGUUCGGGUUGUAAAGUACUUUCAGCGGGGAGGAAGGGAGUAAAGUUAAUACGUUUGCUCAUUGACGUUACCCGCAGAAGAAGCACCGGCUAACUCCGUG